rnacentral:misc_RNA from 1 species
ACAUGAACUUGAGGAUGAAGAUGUUGUGCAAAUUAUAAAAAAAGUGUGAUAUGUUUCAUUCCAGUUCACAAGAAUCCAUUGAACUCUCCACAUAAUGAAGGCGAAUGCCUGAAAGAUUGCGUCAAAUUUUCACGUUAUGACUGCAAACGAGUGGAAGAAAAGCUUUCUUGGCAAGCUAAAAUAUGAGACGGAAUGAUAUGUAAUCAAAAGCUAUUUUCUGAUCAAGCAUUUUCAAGGUGAUUUAAAUGUUUGUGUUGGCAUGUUAUGCACCAGUGUGACAUGUAUAAUGAUAAUGAACAAACCAGGCCAUUCCAUCUGUAAUUCCCAUCAUACCAUAGUGUUGAUAUAUAAAGGCGUAAAUGCCAAUUUCACAAUCUGAGAAUUCGGCUUUAGUUUGGAUCAGGAACGAGAGUUCUAUCUUUUGUCCUUUUGGGCCUUUUGUCAGUUCGAAGAACAUGGAUUCAGAACUUUAUUUUAUAGCGAUUUUGUUCUCUCAAGUACAUGCCCUAUUUGUACAAUAUCAUAAUUUUCAUAGAAAAGAUGGAAUUUUG